UGUUUAGUUUAUGUACUGAUACAUGUUUUGAAAUUUGUUAUAAUGUAUCAUUCACUAAGUUUAAUAAAUGCUUCAUCAGAUAUAGUUGAUGAUACAUAUAGAUUCUUUGUGUAUGUUGCUUAGUCGCUGUUUAUGAUACAUGUAUUAGACAUGUAUCACAUGUUAUAAUGUUUUAGUUAAUUCACUGAUACAUGUUAUAGACAUGUAUCACAUGUUUCUAUAUCGUUUUAAUUUGCGGUUUUAUUUUCAAAUUGCAGCCACUGAAGUACAAGAUUAAAAAGAUACCAACACAUCCCAUAAGGAUUUUGACGUUAGUAAAAAGUUGUACCGAUUAUAUGGGAUGCCAUAUGCACUAAAUGUUUGGAUAUACGAAUGUGCAUCCAAUUUAAAUUCAGAAAUAGCUGUGAGAGAACGCAAUGUCAUCCCAA